UACGAAGGGGGCAAGCGUUGUUCGGAAUUACUGGGCGUAAAGGGCGCGUAGGCGGCUUAUCAAGUCAGGCGUGAAAUUCCCGGGCUCAACCUGGGGGCUGCGCUUGAUACUGAUGAGCUUGAAUGCGGGAGAGGAUAGUGGAAUUCCCGGUGUAGAGGUGAAAUUCGUAGAUAUUGGGAAGAACACCGGUGGCGAAGGCGGCUAUCUGGCCCGUAAUUGACGCUGAGGCGCGAAAGCGUGGGGAGCAAACAGG
rnacentral:rRNA from 1 species